rnacentral:rRNA from 1 species
UACGAAGGGGGCUAGCGUUGCUCGGAAUCACUGGGCGUAAAGCGCGCGUAGGUGGUCAUGUAAGUCCGCUGUGAAAGUCAAAGGCUCAACCUUUGAAAGCCGGUGGAUACUGCAUGACUAGAGUACGGAAGAGGCGAGUGGAAUUCCUGGUGUAGCGGUGGAAUGCGCAGAUAUCAGGAGGAACACCAAUAGCGAAGGCAGCUCGCUGGGACGUUACUGACACUGAGGCGCGAAAGCGUGGGGAGCGAACAGG